CAAUUUUGUCGUCGGGUAAGUAUCUUAUCGGGCUUUUUAGGUCGUCGACAUUAAAAUAUAGAGGAGUGCUGUUAAUGGCCCGUAUCGCUGGCAUUAACAUUCCUGAA
rfam:Alteromonas confluentis strain KCTC 42603 Alteromonas_confluentis_KCTC42603_S35, whole genome shotgun sequence.